rnacentral:rRNA from 1 species
GGUGAACGCUGGCGGCGCGCCUUACGCAUGCAAGUCGUGCGGGGCGUGGGCUUCGGCCUGCGCCCAGCGGCGGACGGCUGAGUAACACGUGGGUAACCUGCCCGGAAGUGGGGGAUAACUCGGGGAAACCCGGGCUAAUACCGCAUGUGGUCCCAGGGGGAAGUUCCCUGGGACUAAAGCCCGCAAGGGCGCUUCCGGAGGGGCCCGCGGCCUAUCAGGUAGUUGGUGGGGUAACGGCCCACCAAGCCGACGACGGGUAGCCGGUGUGAGAGCACGA